UGCUGUGUAUUUAUUUUUUGGAGUGGCACAGAGUAGAGCAAAAACUAAAAAAUUCAAAACGAGCAGCCCAUGAGAGACACUGCAAACGCUUCAGCUCACUGCUGACUGGCCACCAAGUUUAGCCAGGAGACAUCAAUCAAGGUGGCAUCUUCCAAGUUCAAAAUAAAGGUCAGACCCACCACAAGGAGCCAGAGUUUCCCCAUGAAACAGGAUUACAGAAAAAUGUAAAGAACCUUCUGAAAUAAAUUUUCAAAGGAAGCAAACCUUUCCAGAUCACUUUGUGCUUCUUGCCCACCCAAACUCCUGUAUUCACCUUCCCUACCUGAACUUUAAUGCUUUGGGGCUGAUUUUAGUGAAACAUGGCAAAGGUUUUAAAGAUCUCAAAUGUGAAUUUGCUAAGUACCAGUUUCAGGAAUGAAGGUGUCCAAAAUAAAAGACUUUGCCUGAACUGAAGGAAACACUGCAGAAGGAAUUCAAGCAGUAUUAGAGGAAGGAAAAUUCACAUAAAGGAAGUUCUUAUAGAUGCCUUAGUGUGAUGAAACCUUCAGAGUUUGCAAUCGACUAGAAACCACAAAUUGCAGGAGGCUGGACUUCAGUCAGGGAACUACUUCUGCAAAGACUUUGCACACUGCAGGGACUGUGUCCAGCUGCAUUACUUGGAAAACUGAACCCUCUGAGCUGUUCCUGUUUCUAUCAUUACAAAGGGAAUAAAUGCAUAAGCCAAGAAAACAACUCAGCAGGUCGCAGGAGAGCAGAUCCUGGAGGAGUUACCACCUGUCAGCAGAUAUCUUGGCUCACAGUUAGAAGUUAUAGUGUAUGUGCAAGAUCAGCAUUUGGAAGAUUGUGGAAAUGUCCUGCCCCAAAAGAAGUCCAGUCUUCUCCACCAGCUCAUGGAGCUGACAUGUCAAGCCCUAAGAAUUUAGCCUUGUUGUUCCAUCUUUAUCAACAACUCAGUUUCUGUCUAGUUUCUUCUAGAAUUGUUCCUAAAACUGGAUGUUUGACAUGA
rnacentral:lncRNA from 1 species